UUCGCUCAUUGGCUCUCCAAAAUCUAGACUGUCGUCAACCUUCUUGUUUAUUGCUGACAGCAAUCUUUGAGGGCAGUUGGGGUUCGCCAUUAUCUCCUUUGGUUCUUACUGCAAGUUAAAGAUCUGGAUCUGUGGGAAUUUAGUUUAUGAAUAUUUGUUUGCUCCGUUUGCCAAAUAGCAUGCAGACAAAGUUAUGCCGCAGCAUAGUCCGGCCGAAAAGUCGAAACUUGCGCACGCAAAUCGCGUGCCAGUGCAGCUUGAUCGAUCGCAAGCUGCGAUUUUGAUCGGUUGAAGGUGGAAACUCGGUCAAUUGGUAGCUUUGAGUAAUUAAAUAAAAUGGAUAAGUCUGUCAGAGUUGCUCUUCUGAUCUACCAAUGGGCAGCACGAGACCAUGUGCCCAUCACCCACAUCGUGGAUUCUCCAUUACUUGGAUGAUGUGUGGGUGCGUGAGAGAGAGAGAGAGAGAGGAGAGAGAGAGAGUAAAGCCAAAGUGAUGUCUUGAGCACUUGUUUGGCGAGUCUUCCUCAAGCAACUGCUGCAGCUUGGAAGACCCCGGUGAAUGACCCACAAAUGUUGGGGCAGUCUCCUGCCAUAAAGGAAGAGAUCCAUCUGCAGAGCUCCAGGUACGUAGCUGGCCUGUGGGUUCGCUUCCCGUCGUAAUAAGGUACGCAAGGACCAGAAAGCUUCGACCUUUCUCAAGAUCUCUCCUUUUAGCAGCUUUUACUGUGCUUCCUCUCCCUCUUGGUUGCUUCAAGCUCGCAUUCUAGGUCUCUUGAUCUCGUCAUAUUGUCGAAGGAUUUCAUCUUAUUACAGAUCUUGCUCAUCUCCCCAUCUUCAGAUUCUAGGGUUUCUGUCUGGAUUUUCUCUUCUCUGCAUUUAGGUUUUGCUGCAAUGGAUGCUUAGGAAUGGUUCCAACCUUGGACUGAAUCAAAGAAUGGUGUUGUUUGGGCUUCUAUUUUUGGUUCUUAUUUCAACUUUUGUUGAAGCUGGAUAUGGUCAAGUGAACACUUAUCUGCUCAAUUGUGGUUCUACUGAUAGUGUCGUCGAUGCUAAUGGCAGGAGAUGGGCUUCAGAUUCAUCUGGUGAGAAUUUCACUUUGAGCAAUAAUGGAACAGCUGUAAGCUCUGUUACAGUUGAAGAUAACUCGAUUUACCAGCCCUUGUAUAAGACUCUCCGAGUAUUCAACACUUCUGCUUACUAUAGCUUCAAUGUGUCUCCUGGGAGUUACUGUAUCAGGCUUCAUUUCUACCCUUUCUCGUUAGGAAGUUUGAACAGCAAUGAUUCGGUGUUCGAUGUAACUGCAAAUGAGCUCAGGUUGGUUUCCCAGUUCAAUGUUCCGGUAGAGAUUUUGUGUUGGAACAGUCGGAUGAAUGAAGUCCACAACCUGCUCAUAAAAGAAUAUUUCCUUAAUGUCAGUUCGAAUGAACUGAAAAUUAAGUUCGUUCCAAGUGUGGCAUCGUUUGCAUUCGUCAAUGCCAUAGAAGUCACUGAAGUAAUGAACAAUGUGUUUGCUGAUGCUGCAACUAAAGUCGGCAUGAAAGAGAAGCUACCUUUCAGUCUGAAUGAGCGUGGCAUUGAGACAAUGUACCGGUUAAAUGUUGGAGGGCCAGCUCUUGAACCCGGGAAAGAUAGAGAUCUAUGGAGAAAGUGGGAUCCAGAUAAUAAUUUUAUGUUUUCUGUGAAUGCUGCUACUGCAAUUAGCAACAGAUCUAACAUCAGUUAUUCCUCACUUAAUGAUUCUUCAAUCGCACCUCUGUUGGUUUACGAGACAGCAAGAAUAAUGUCUGAUAAUGAAGUUGUCGAGAAGAGGUUUAACGUCUCAUGGAGGUUCCCUGUGGAUCCAAACUUUGAGUACUUGAUCCGGAUGCACUUCUGUGAGCUGGUGUACGACAAGCAAAACCAGAGGAUUUUUAGGAUAUACAUAAAUAAUAAAACUGCAGUAGAGGAAUAUGAUGUGUUUUUGCGGGCAAGAGGGAUGAACAAAGCCUACCAUGAGGACUUUUCUGAUGUUUUAUCUCAGCAGAUUGACACACUUUGGCUUCAGCUUGGACCUGAACCAUCUGUUGGUCCUUCGGGUAUUGAUGCAAUACUCAAUGGUGUGGAAAUCUUCAAACUUAGUAAGAAUGGGAGUUUAGCUCAUGUUUCCGAAAGGAUCAGUAACAACGAGGAAGGAGUGAAUACAAAGAAGACAAAAAGUAAAGUAUUUUGGGCAGCUACUGGUGUUGGUGCUUCUGUUGUUACCAUUUCAAUAGCUUGUGUUUUCUUGCUUCAUCGUGUUCGAAAAAGGAAAGCAGAUUCUGUUAAGGAGGAUCCUUCUAGUUGGCGCCCACUUUUCGUUCAUGCAACAAUGGCAAGCACCACAAAUGCUGCCGCUAAAUCUCCCUUAAUCAACAACGGAUUGCCAGUUCCUAAUCGAACAGGCAGAAGGUUCACUUUGGCAGAAAUUAGAGUUGCAACAAGUAACUUUGACGAGUCUUUGGUGAUCGGAACAGGAGGUUUCGGGAAGGUCUACAAGGGUGAAAUUGAUGAUGGUAUCCUGGUAGCUAUCAAGCGGGGUAAUCCACAAUCACAGCAAGGUGCGGCAGAGUUUGAAACAGAAAUUGAGAUGUUGUCAAAGCUUCGGCAUCGACAUCUAGUCUCAAUGAUUGGGUACUGUGACGAGCAAAAGGAGAUGAUUUUGGUCUAUGAGUACAUGGCAAAUGGCACACUGAGAAGCCAUCUCUACGGUACUUCUCAGCCAGCUUUGUCAUGGAAACAGCGGCUUGAUGCAUGCAUUGGUGCAGCUCGUGGACUACACUAUCUUCACACAGGAGCCGAGUGGUGUAUCAUCCACCGAGAUGUCAAGACAACAAACAUUUUGCUGGGCGGAGACUUCGUCUCCAAGAUGGCUGAUUUUGGCUUGUCAAGAGCUGGUCCCUCUUUGGAUCACACUCAUGUGAGUACUGCAGUGAAAGGGAGUUUUGGUUACCUUGAUCCCGAGUAUUUCCGAAGGCAACAACUUACACAGAAAUCAGAUGUAUACUCAUUUGGAGUUGUUCUAUUCGAAGUUGUAUGUGCUCGUCCAGUGAUAAAUCCUAGUUUGCCCAAGGAUCAAAUUAACCUGGCUGAGUGGGCACUCGGAUGGCAAAGGCAGCGUUCACUUGAGUCAAUCAUCGAUCCGAAAUUAGACGGAGACUACUCUCUCGAAUCACUGAGGAAGUUCGGAGAACUUGCAGAGAAAUGUUUGGCAGAUGAAGGAAAGAACAGACCUAACAUGGGAGAUGUCCUCUGGCACUUGGAAUAUGUCUUACAUCUUCACGAAGCAUAUAGGAAGAGCAGAGAAGGUGAUUCCUUUGGGAGCACUGAGUUGGGAUUCACUGAUGUGUCUUUUUCUCUUCCAUUUGUUCGAGAGGGGGAUGAGGAACAUGUUUCAUAGCCGUUCAGAAUCUAAAGAUGAUUGAUUCAGAUUAUGCAGGUUCUUGUUGCUCUUCGGAAUAUAUUUAACCCUCAGGUGAAUUCACUUGUUUUCGAUCAGUAGUUCUACCGAUCGCCAAAACAAUAUCAAUCAAACUUCUCUAGUAGCAAUACUCCUGUGCUUCUUCUCUGUAGCAGUGCUCAUGUCUGGAGUUACCUCUCCUGUUCUCUUUGUUCCUGAAAGCAGUGUCUCAUGUUUCGUUACAGUAUCACUUUUUGUCAGAGUUUUCUCCGUUGAAGUCAUCUCAAAAUCUUCCAGUUCAAAAGUUGGCUGCCAUGGCUUUCCUGAGCCUCUGCUCGCCCUCACUUCCAGCAACCGCAAGCGCUGCGUUUCUCGAUCCACCCAGUAAGAAAAAAGCUGAAGCUUGGAACACUUCACUCCUUGUUCAUCACCGCUACUCUCCGCCUUCUCCAUAUCUGUGUUAACUUUUAACCUCAUCAAAAGGGAGGGAAAAAAAAAAAAAAAGAGUUGGCUAAAGUGUAAAAGAAAACUUGCUGCUUACAUUUCAAGAAUCUUUUGAAGUGUUUUCCAGCU